rnacentral:rRNA from 1 species
CCCUUAGAUGUUCUGGGCCGCACGCGCGCUACACUGAUGCAUUCAACGAGUUCCUACCUUGGCCGAGAGGCCUGGGCAAUCUUUUGAACUUGCAUCGUGAUAGGGAUAGAUUAUUGCAAUUAUUAAUCUUGAACGAGGAAUUCCUAGUAAACGCAGAUCAUCAAUCUGCAUUGAUUACGUCCCUGCCCUUUGUACACACCGCCCGUCGCACCUACCGAUUGAAUGAUCCGGUGAAGCCUCGGGAUUGUGGUUAGUUUCCUUCAUUGGAAGUUAGCCGCGAGAACUUGUCUAAACCUUAUCAUUUAGAGGAAGGUGAAGUCGUAACA